UACGUGUUCUUUUCUUUCUUUUGCACAGGAAGUAUGCUGUGAGGGCCACAAAAGGUAAUAUUGCAAUAGCGCCAACUAAAUUCAUCUGUUUUGGCAGACCUCUAAUAUCAUCCUGGACAUAUAAUUGUGUCCCGUCCCCUCUUCCUUUCUUCAGUGUUGGUAUUUCUCUAGUAACCUCACAGACAUACUUCCCACCAUCAUCCUUGGUGACCCCAUGUAUGGUCAGGAGUGAAGAAUUAUUGGUCGCAUUGCAAGUUAUAUUACUUCUUACUUCUGAAUUGCUGCUGUUCUCAGUCCUCAAAACAGAACAUAACUCGGUCCCAUUCUCUUCUCCAGGACUUGAAUUAUGCUUUCUCCAUACGAUU